rnacentral:lncRNA from 1 species
CUAAUCCAUCACCACAUGGAUCAUUCUCGUCUCCCCACCUUGCUUAUCUGUAACCUCCUGCCCCACCAGUGGAGGACCUGACUCUGCUGGUUGCCCUUUCAUUUUCUUCAUAGCACCAUUGGUAUGUUGAGAGGAUUAAAUGAAAUAAUUACUUCCAGUUCUGCUUCCUACCAAGAUGCUGACAAAGUAAAAUGACUGGCUCCCUCCCACAAGAUCAACUUCAGAGGAGCUACAGAGGGGAAAAGAACCCCGCCAAGUUACCUGGUAAACACCAAAUACUGAAAAAACAGAAAAGUCUGCGGCAGUGCAGCUGUCUGAACUGUUGUCUGUGAGAGGAUGGGUAUAGCCUGGGGCCGGAGGCAAUGGAGGACAAAACAGGAAAGAAACUGGUAGAGUUUGGCUUUUGCUUCUCCCCUGCCAUUCUCUUCGGACAAACUGUGCCUGUUCCUAUAGAGCAGCAACAAAGAUCUCCAGGACAUACAGAGAGAAAAAUACAAACAGAUAUUUGAAGCGUGAGAGGAUCCAAGGCCAUCUCACUCAUCUUUGUGGGCCCUGUUGCUGACUAUCAAGUGGGGCCAUUCUCUCCACAUGGUUAGUCUUUCCUUCUCCAGCAGAUUCUCCAUUUGGUCUCUCCAGCAAACUAGCCUGGACUUCUUUACAUGGUAGCUGGGUUCCUUCUUGGCAUAUGUGGAAGGCCUCAUAAGACCUGGAUUUGGAAGUUCCAGAAUGUCACUUCUACCUCAUUCUAUGGGUCAAAGCAAAUCACAGGGCCGGCCCAGAUGCAAGGGGGUUGAAUCUUGAUGGGAGGAGUAGCAAAGUCACAUUCAAAGGGGAACGGGCACAAGGAGGAAUGAUUCAUUGGGAGCCAUUUUUAGCAAUCCACAGGAGAGGCAUAAUUACAGAUAAAGAAUUAAAAAGAUAAGAAGAGAAUACCAUCAAGAGUGAAUGCCAAUUUUGAAAACUUACAUUAAUGGAUAAAUUCAAUAAAAAGCUUAAAUAGCCCUACAACUAACUAAAGAAGUUAAAACUGCAGUUAAAAAUCUUCCCAUAAAGGAAACACCAGGUCCAAAUGGGUUUAUAGACAAUGCGUUCUAACACGUUCUUCCUCGGUUCCUGGUUAAAUUAAAUAGCGGAAGGAAAGCAUGUAUAAAGAAUGUAGUCCUCCUUACUGAAAGUAACACCUAGAACCUCUGAGGUUCCCACUAUAAGUGGUGGCAGCUGUCUUUGCAGAGCCCGCUUAUUCUCCCUGAAAUAUAUCAUCCCUUAGGGUCUUUAGUCCACAUGGUCAGUCCACUGAUUCCUUGUAGCGGAAACAAGACUGGCUUGUUUCAAACAGGACUUUAUUUUAAAUGCUAGACGAUUAUAAAAGGAAAAUACCUGUCCUGCUGUAUUUCUCCAAUGUUUUCCAUCGUGUAGACGUGAGGGUGAAGAGUUCGUGAUAUCUUCAGUGUUCUGAGGCAGCAAAGUGUUCCAUCACGUUCUAAAGUCAAACUCUCAUAUUUUUCCUUAAAAGCCAUAUUGAUGCAUUUUUCUUGAUAAAAGGUGAAGUCUAUAUGGAAUUUAUUUUAAUAUUAAAGUUGUAUUUUAUUCCCAAAAUCUUCAGUGGAGGUAGAUGCUCCAGGAGGGAGCCCCACAAUUAUCCUGUGAUCAGGUGUUUUCCAGUGUGAGAAGCACAGAAGAUAAUCUGAUUUGCUCCAGACCUGGUGCAGGCCCCCGGGAACCCAGAGAUAAAGAGAUCUUGCAUAAUUUUUCCCUCUUCACCUUCUUGCCUCUCUUCACAUUUUCGGCAUAUCUGUUAAGCCCACUGCCCAGAGCCUGCUCCUACAGGUCUAGACAAGAUCUGUCUACUUUUCUAGAGCUGGCCUGCACAGUGCUGGCUUCCUGAUGGAAGAGCCACUUCUCUGUAAGGUAUGUGGGGUGACCUCAUUCAGAAAGGCCAUCUAAAUAGAGAUGUGGCUUUACUCUUUCAAACUUCAGCAGGAUAAUCAUAUUUUGAUACAACGUAACAACCUCAAUAUUUAAUGGAGAAAAAUGCACAUAUACAGUCAGGGGAGAGGAGUUCAGUUGUAC